rnacentral:snoRNA from 1 species
UCAUCUACAGCUUUCAGUGAUCAUUUCUAUAGUUUGUUAUUAGAGAAGUUUCUCUGUGUGGAGUAUUGGAAACCAUCAGGAGGAGGUGUAGCACUCUCUCCUGAGAAUGUAGCUAGCUCUUGGUGUUGCUUUGCUGUAACUGCCACUGGCCAUAUAUGAUUUUUCCUGCUCUUCUUCCAGGGAAGUGGAGGGCAAAGACACAGUCUGAAUUAU